GGGCAGAUGGCCAAGUCAGCCUAAGUCACCAGAUUACAGCUCUGGUCUCCCCAGAGGCGUGGGUUUGCAUCCCACUCUGCUCA